GGCACUGUAGCUCAGUUGGUUAGAGCGUAGGACUCAUAAGCCUAAGGUCACUGGUUCGAUUCCAGUCAGUGCUACCA
rnacentral:tRNA from 1 species